CCCCUCCCAGGACGGCACCUGGAGAGUUUCCAGUACUCUGCCAGGCUCGGCUACGGGAGGGAGAGUCCAGCAGAGACUUGCCCAAUCCAUUCCUAGCUUGGCCAGUGGCUAGCGAGGGGAAGGCCAUCUGCUACGAGU